AUUGAACGCUGGCGGCAGGCCUAACACAUGCAAGUCGAACGGUAACAGGAAACAGCUUGCUGUUUCGCUGACGAGUGGCGGACGGGUGAGUAAUGUCUGGGAAACUGCCUGAUGGAGGGGGAUAACUACUGGAAACGGUAGCUAAUACCGCAUAACGUCGCAAGACCAAAGAGGGGGACCUUCGGGCCUCUUGCCAUCGGAUGUGCCCAGAUGGGAUUAGCUGGUAGGUGGGGUAACGGCUCACCUAGGCGACGAUCCCUAGCUGGUCUGAGAGGAUGACCAGCCACACUGGAACUGGGACACGGUCCAGACGCCUACGGGAGGCAGCAGUGGGGAAUAUUGCACAAUGGGCGCAAGCCUGAUGCAGCCAUGCCGCGUGUAUGAAGAAGGCCUUCGGGUUGUAAAGUACUUUCAGCGGGGAGGAAGGGAGUAAAGUUAAGACCUUUGCUCAUUGACGUUACCCGCAGAAGAAGCACCGGCUAACUCCGUGCCAGCCGCCGCAGUAA
rnacentral:rRNA from 1 species